GCGCCAGUGGUUUAAUGGUAAAAUCUAUCGUUGCCAUCGAUGGGCCUGGCGGUCGAUUCGCGGCUGGCGCA